rnacentral:lncRNA from 1 species
AGGGAAGAAUAUAAGUUAACCUCUGUAGUGACCAUGUGGAAGUCCCGACCUUGCUUGCAGACUUGACCUCUGGAUUUGACAAGGUGAGGUCCUGUGUUCACUGACACUUCCCCUUUACUUCCCCCGGCUCAUGAAAAGAAGCGCUGAUUCAGCAAAUAGAGUGAAGAGCCGAUCAAGAUGAGAUGGCUGCUGCUGGCGUGACUCUCUGGGUCAUUCUCUCUCUCCCUGCUCAUGACACUAAGCUCACAGGUUCUAGAAGCAAACUACAAAAUAAGAAGAAAUUUGCUCUGAAGACUAUGAAGAAACACUAGGCUGAUCUUACCAAUUUCUGAAAUACACUCUGUAAAUCCCCACUGAUUCAAUGGAUCUCUCUCAAAAAGAACCAAACCAGGACAAAGUUCAACAGAUGACUGGUCAACGUUUAGAAGUGUAUGUCCACCAAGAACAAGGAACCAUAAACAGCACUAAUGCCAUGCCUCAGGUAAAUGUUAUAAAGUUUAGUCUUUGAUAUUCUCUGCAAACAAUCUACCACUGCUCUCCAUCAGUAAGCUGAAAGUUUUACUAAAAAAUGGGAAAAUAAAACAUUUCAUGUUUUUACAGCUAACAACUUAGUAAUACCUACUCAGAGUACAUACUUCUUUAUGUACCCAUAUGAACAUACAAUGCUAUGGAAUGUAAAGAAGUAUGUAUUUUUGGUAGGCAAUAAACCACCAAGAGGAAACUAGACUGCAGCUAUGUCAAUGACCUUCGUAUGUUAAAUUAACCUAUCAAAGAGAUGACCUUUGGCAUUACUAACACCAGAAAAUGUACCUAUUUCUUUCAGAUGGAAACUAAAUGUUGCUGAUUUAUAUUUCAUGAGGAAAAAAGUUCUUCUGAAGUAGAUUUAAAAUUAACAUGGAAUUCCUUUUAAAUCCUUUAAGUUUAAAGCAUAAGACAUUCUACAUUUUUAAAUUAAGUACUCACAUGAUUAAAAUUUGAAUACAAAAGAGAAAACAGCGAUACUAGUACAAAAAAAUGAUACACAUGACCCAUUUUCUGUCUCCACAAUUUAAUUUUAAUUUAAAUGUAUCAUAUUAGAAGGGCUGACAUUUAACAAAAGCUGACUUCAUUUGCAUUUCAACAGCUAUUCUUUAUGAAGAAUAAGUAUAAUUAACAAUGUAAUUAUAAUUUAACAAUAUUGUAAGAAUUCCUGAGCAAGUUUUGGUGUUUUAAGUUUUCUUUCUCAAAGCUACAGACAUAGUUAUAAUUUUAAAAGACUAUCUUUCAAGUAAAAUUCUACUCUCAAAGAAAAAAAAGUGGUCCCUGUCCUUCUCCCUAAUCCAGUUUCCACUUUCAAUGCUAUGUAAGUACUUAGUUUAAAUCAAGACAUACAAUUUAUUCAAGAAAAAUGAUAAAAUUCUGGGAAAUAGGUAUAAAUCAAUAGGGCACACUGGCCACAGACUGCCAAAUAUUAAAAUAAAUUAAUUUAUUACCUAUACUAUCCUUGAAUUUGCUUUCUCCAAAGAGGGCACAUAAAAUGAAACACUACAAUCAUGAAACCAAUGUAUCCAGAAAGAAUAACCAUCUUUUAUUGGUACUAGGCAAAUACAAUUCAAUUUUUUAUAAACAUGAUAGCCUACCAUUUAUAGUAUGCUAGAGAUAUUAAAAUACAUUUUGUAUUUUAUGUAAAAUUUAUUUUGUACAAUAUAUACUUAUAUUGAUAAAUAUUAUAAAUGAUAAAGCUCUUAGCAACAAUUUAUUAGUAUCUAUUUUAAGCUACUAUAAUAGAUUUAGAAAAUAAAUAUUAAUAUUCAUAUAUUCUAAUCAUUUCUUUUGAUUAGAGUAUUCAGACAUAUGUCAUCACAUGUCUAAAUUUUUUGUCACAGUUGAGUAGAAAUGGCUAUAAGGUUAUCCAUGAAUUGUUAAUUUUGUUUAAUAAGACAACUAGAUAAUUGUCAAAAGGUGAUGUUCAUUUAAUCAGAUUAAAAAGGAGAGAAUGACUUACAUACAAGCAUAGAAGUUAUAGAAUAUUUAUUGUAAAUUACAAAAGUUCAUUAAUUUUAAAAUUUUACAUUUUCAAAGAAAAAAAAAUCAGUUCAAAGCUUAACUCACUCAAGAAUAGACCUUCAUCCUGAUUAUCCACAAAAAGGAUGGCAAAGCUUCAUAUUCCAUUCAUUAAGUUUAACUACACACGCCCUAAACAUUAAAAACUGACAAUAUACACCUCAAAAAUAGAGGUUCCUCUAUGAAACUACUCAAAGGGUAUUACUAUAUCUACGCUUUAUAAUAAGCAAUUAUAUUCACCAUUCUAUGGGUAUAAAAGUUUUUAAUAAUUAUUUUAAAACAUUCCAGCAACUAAGAAUCUUGUUGCUACAAUAUUAAGAGCUUACAAACCUUAGAAAAUGACAGUAUCUAUUAUUCAUUUGAAAAAGUAUAAUUAUACACUGAUCCUAGCGCUUGCAAGUUAAACUUAACAUAUCUAAGAGUAUUUUCAAUCACUCUAAAAUGUCACAUCUAUCACUUAGAUCAGCUGUUCAUUUUUAACUGAGUACAUAUUAAACUCUGGGCAUCUGCUGACACUGUUGUAACUCAAACAUUUCAACUGUCUCUCUGACAGGGAUAACAGAUGCUGACAUUAUCAAAUGCUGUACUAUUUUUUUUCCCCCGGCCUCUCUUGCCCCGAUAUGGCCAGUAUAUGAAACUGAACUGCCAUCCAAAGCACACUUGAGCAACUGGAUCUGCUAAACAGCUCCCAUAGAACUAGUAAAAAUAGAAGUCAGUUUUAUUGCUAUCUUCAGCACUUAAGUCCAGGCAAUUUAACACCUGUUUCUUUUCUAUUAGAAUAAAUGAUGGAAAUAAUUGUAGUUACAUUAAUUUCACCAGCAGCAUGAUACCCUUCAGCCAACAGAUGCGGGAUAUACUUAAUACGAGAAGUGUUUGAAUAUUGCCUGAAUUAGUGUUGACCUUCUCCCAGUUUGGUUCAAAACACGUAACUAUUUCUUUACUGUUUAUAUUUCAGUGAGAGCACUUACCUUACAGGCAAACUAUAACUGUUCAAAGUUUUUAAAAGUUAUUAAAAAGUUAUUUUAAAAGUUUUAAAAAGGUAUUUUCAGAAGACACCCCUUCUCAAUAUUGCAAUUCCCUUUUAACAAAAACUUGCUGUACUGAGUUUUAACGAUAAUUUCCAUACUCAAAUUCAUGAUUAUUGCUAACCACAAUGUAUUAUUAAGCAGAUAAUGAGAAGUAACCAGGCAAUCUGUACCCGAAAUGACAGAGAAUUCAGUCAAGGAACUAGACUUUUAAAAGAGUUCAAUUAUUAACCUAUGGUUAGGGACACUACAUAAGCAAAAAGAAAGAAAAAUAAGCUAUCAUGCAUGGCAGUUCCUUCAACACAAGUCUAAGCAAUACACUGAAUACACGUGUGAUCUAUUUAUAAACCAAAGGGUACCAGAGGUACUUUUCUUAAGGCCAUUCAUCCCUCCCCGCCGUCAGCAACUUGCUGUUUGUUAGUCCUUAAGAAUUAUGCUAAAAAAAGAAGUGGCGGUAGGAAAGUGUGACUGACUAGCAGUAUUUUUCCCUAACCUAUUUCACCUGCUUAUUUGGUUUACUGCUCAAAGAUAAACAGAAAACAUUACUCUGAUACACAUCAAGGUCUAUAUGCUCUUUUUAAAUGGUGCUGGUUUUGAAAUAGGUCACUGUCUAUAUUUAAGAAUUCAGCAAAGGUGUUAAAAAUAAAGAUGUACAUUGAUAACUCCUUAAUGCACUACCAACGUGCUAAAGGGUAAAGACUUCUGCACGACUGGAGUGGGAAACACGAAAAGUGCCUUCAGAAAAUAGUUUUACAAUCCAUGGCUGAAACACUGAUACGAGAUUCUCAACAUUUGAGGAAGGACCAUAAUCAUAAUUUUACAAAUAAAAAAAUUUCAGCUGUUUUAGGUCCCCAGCUAGCAGCACGGCAAUGCUUUGCUAGAGCUGGUAAAAUGGAACCAAAUCGCCUCUUCAAUGGAUUUGGUCCCCUUCAACCAGCUGUAGCUAUGCAUUGAUUACUACAGGACAGCCAGCGUUUUCAUUUAUCAUUAUUAAUCACAUGUCAACUGAUUUCAACUUACUUAUUCAGAUUAUGGUUUAAAUCAAAUAAUUUGUAACUGUUAAUUCUACUUGAAAGAGCUAUAAUAGUAUAUGAUGUUAAUAAACAGUUUGGUGAAAAACUGUGUGAAUGAUAUAAGGCUUUCAAAUAAAAUUAUUUUAUU